GCCCGGCUAGCUCAGUCGGUAGGGUGUGAGACUCUUGCUCUCAGGGUCAUGGGUUCAAGUCCAAUGUUGACUU